rnacentral:sRNA from 1 species
AAGAAUUUAUUGGGUUAUGUUGAUCAGGAGGUUUGAACUGAACUUUGUUUAUUUUGUAUUUGAUACAAUCGAAAUAAGUUGAGGCUCAAGAUCUUCAUAUCAAAUAUAAGUUUGGAAUCUUUUUCAUUU